GAAAGCAGUUAAGAGCCGAAAUGUCCGCGUUACGUCGCACAGUUUCCUCGUGAGAUCAAAUCUAACAGCUCACUGGUGGACCCGGACACAAAACAGCACACGCUGUUGGUACACGUUCACGUCAAUCUGUAGUGAGGGAAGUGGUGAGCAAAAUAGAAACUUACGGCCCCAGCUGAACGUUUACCGAGAAAUGACGAUGUGAAAGCAAUGAAGCGGCCAAACAAUUUGUGUGUCUUUAAUAGUCUAGUCCAGAGGUUUUCAAGGUCCCCAGUAGGGCUUCAGACGGUUUCAGGGGAGGCUCAGUGAAUGGAAGUGAAACAAUCUAUAGUCUAAUGUGAUUUGGUUAAAGAGAGAGUUCAGAGUAGUUUUGGGGAACAGUUCCUCCCACUUUAUCAGUCAGAAAGUAAAAAAUGCCUUAGGACAGACCUUAAUUUGAAUGUAUUUGGUGCAGUCUGAAGUUACGUGAAACAGCAAUAUUAUGCUAUCUUGGCUCAAAUGGCCCCGGCUGUGAGCUUGUUCGGGGAGCUGGGGGCGUGUCUGCUGCGGGCUCUGCACUCACCUGAAACCCAUCCACAAUCAGCACACCUGCUCUGUGUCCCACAAUCAGCCACUGCCUAAAUAGGAGGCUCAGACAUCCAGUCCUUGCUGGAUCGUUGAAUCUCCACACCAGACUACCAGCCAGUAAGCUCUCGGUGCCGCCCGCAGCCAGGACGCUUCCCGCUCCCAGAUUUCCCUCCUACCCCGAACCUGGGAGGGAGCCUCUGUCCUGAACCUCCGUCUUCCCGCUUACACUCCCCUGAAAAAACUGUCUAAACUCUGAUCUGCGUUUGAGUCCCCUCUGCCUGAAAACUCUGACAGGUCCAGCCCAAAUCUGUCGUCCUCUUUAGUCCAUUGUUCUUUUGAGGUGCUGCACCAAUGUAUUCUUGGUUGAUUUGCUCCGUUUCUCUUGUGUCAUGGUAUCUGCUUCGUAAUGUCUUCCUCUAUAACUGGCAAAACUUUGGUUAUAAUUUUACUGCACCAACUUGGAGAAAUCCCACUCUAAAAUCCACUCUAAUACAACAAAUUAACACAGCUAAAUUGCUAUGCACUUUGACCUUUUUACCAAACUAAUUCCUUAAUAGGUUAGUUCAUUGUCAUGGCAUCUGCUUCCCAGUUUCGUCUACUGUUACUGGCACAAUUUGUAACAUUUUACUGUACCAAGUGGGAGAAAUCCCACUUCUGUGUAGAACUCCAAAUGCUUACACUGACUUGCUAUUAAUGGUAACUUAGGUUAUAGUUAAUUAUUUAUCAGAUUCCAAAUUGAUAG